rnacentral:rRNA from 1 species
UACGUAGGGUGCAAGCGUUAAUCGGAAUUACUGGGCGUAAAGCGUGCGCAGGCGGUUUUGUAAGUCUGUCGUGAAAUCCCCGGGCUUAACCUGGGAAUGGCGAUGGAUACUGCAAGGCUAGAGUUUGGCAGAGGGGGGUAGAAUUCCACGUGUAGCAGUGAAAUGCGUAGAGAUGUGGAGGAACACCGAUGGCGAAGGCAGCCCCCUGGGUCAAAACUGACGCUCAUGCACGAAAGCGUGGGGAGCAAACAGG